AGCAUUUUAAUUAAAGCUGGUGCGCUGACAGAUACCAAGCAGCAAUCCGCACACUGCAGUCAAGGAACCGCCCUCAGAGGGGAGAAGGACCAGCAUGCUCAACACCGGGAUGAUUAAUAAUAGUGAAUCAAAUACUGGACUCUCUUAAGUAAUUCGUAUCUACAACCGUAAACCCUCCAAAGCAUGGAAGUUUGGUUCAAUCUGGACAUCUUAUCCACAGAAGCAUUAACGAACACUGGUCCCAUCUAAAUAAAUAUCUGGAAUUUGAUGCCUCCGAACCAGUCUCAUGGAGGUGUCAGCUGAACGAUGAGAGAAAUAGAAGACUAACAUUGGUGUAAUCUGGUGUGCCAGAUCCUGCUAUUCCAAGAUAUAGAAAUGAUAUCCAAAAAGUGCUUUCCUUUCACUAAAACAAGGAACAUCACUAAAAAAAAUCUGUAAAUUUCCAUGUGGGCUAGGCCUGAGGGAAAGAAUUGCUAUAAUAAACC